UAUGUAUCUAUAUAUAUAUAUAUUUUAAUUGGGGUAGCCCCCAAAAUAUUGGGACAUAUAUAAAAAAACAACUCUGUUCUGCAGAGUAGCUGUUGGCAUUAUAGUUGUUCAGGAACUUUGUUGACUCUAGAGAACCUCGGGCCAAUCGCACAUCCCCGUGGCGGCGACUUUGCAUGCAAAUGUCAUCCAUAUUAACUUUCGAUGCCAGUUUCUGCGCCUACCAUGGUGACCACGGGUAAUGGGGAAUCAGGUUUCCAUUCCA